GUGCCUGCAGUGUGCCAGGCGGUGAUGUUGGCUCUGAGGAUACAGCAGAGAAAGACUGAAAUGGAGCUGUUGGAGCAGGCAUUUGAUGGAGAGAGGAGGAAUAAAAUCUCGUUGAAGCUCUUCUUGGCCCACUACUGGAACCAGUUGUUUGGCAGACUAUAGGUGUCACUGCUGCACAUGUCAUGGAUCAUGGGAAAUCAUGCUUAUUGCCUUCUUUCAUGAAAAGGUCCUCUGACUCCCGUGGCACCAUCCAUUCCACGCCAUCCCCCGGACCAAAUGCUAGCAAUAAAUAAUGCUUCUUUCCCCUUUAGUAAUUUU
rnacentral:lncRNA from 1 species